rnacentral:rRNA from 1 species
AUGAACGCUGGCGGCGUGCCUAAUACAUGCAAGUCGAGCGAACGGACGAGAAGCUUGCUUCUCUGAUGUUAGCGGCGGACGGGUGAGUAACACGUGGAUAACCCACCUAUAAGACUGGGAUAACUUCGGGAAACCGGAGCUAAUACCGGAUAAUAUUUUGAACCGCAUGGUUCAAAAGUGAAAGACGGUCUUGCUGUCACUUAUAGAUGGAUCCGCGCUGCAUUAGCUAGUUGGUAAGGUAACGGCUUACCAAGGCAACGAUGCAUAGCCGACCUGAGAGGGUGAUCGGCCACACUGGAACUGAGACACGGUCCAGACUCCUACGGGAGGCAGCAGUAGGGAAUCUUCCGCAAUGGGCGAAAGCCUGACGGAGCAACGCCGCGUGAGUGAUGAAGGUCUUCGGAUCGUAAAACUCUGUUAUUAGGGAAGAACAUAUGUGUAAGUAACUGUGCACAUCUUGACGGUACCUAAGCAGAAAGCCACGGCUAACUACGU